GACGAACGCUGGCGGCGUGCCUAAUACAUGCAAGUCGAACGCAGUGGGGACGGGUGAGUAACACGUGGGUAACCUCCCAUCAGAGGGGAUAACACUUUGAAACAGGUGCUAAACCGAUACGGAUGGCUGGAACCGCGGUGCAUUAGCUAGUUGGUGAGGUAACGGCUCACCAAGGCCACGAUGCAUAGCCGAGCUGCGAGCGUGAUAGGCCACACUGCGACUGAGACACGGACCAGACGCCUACGUGAGGCAGCAGUAGGGAAGCUUGGGCAAUGGACGAAAGGCUGACCGAGCAACGCCGCGUGAGUGAAGAAGGUUUGCGGGUCGUAAAACUCUGUUGUUAGAGAAGCGGUAUCUAACCAGAAAGCCACGGCUAACUACGUGCCAGCAGCCGCGGUAAUAC
rnacentral:rRNA from 1 species